UUACCUGAUUUUUUACAGCAGUGUAGAACCACUGGAAAGGGUGGAUCCCAUAAAUGACUAAAGAACUGGUGGGCCCCCUGAGGGGCAAACACCAGUGUGUGUGUGUGUGUGAGAGGGAGACUU